rnacentral:rRNA from 1 species
GAUGAACGCUGGCGGCGUGCUUAACACAUGCAAGUCGAACGGAACUACUCCAAUGAGAGUCUUCGGAACGGAUUUGGUUUAGUUUAGUGGCGGACGGGUGAGUAACGCGUGGGUAACCUGCCCUAUACAGGGGGAUAACAGUUGGAAACGACUGUUAAUACCGCAUAAGCGCACAGGAGCGCAUGCUCCGGUGUGAAAAACUCCGGUGGUAUAGGAUGGACCCGCGUCUGAUUAGCUGGUUGGCGGGGUAACGGCCCACCAAGGCGACGAUCAGUAGCCGGCCUGAGAGGGUGAACGGCCACAUUGGGACUGAGACACGGCCCAAACUCCUACGGGAGGCAGCAGUGGGGAAUAUUGCACAAUGGGGGAAACCCUGAUGCAGCGACGCCGCGUGAGCGAAGAAGUAUCUCGGUAUGUAAAGCUCUAUCAGCAGGGAAGAAAAUGACGGUACCUGACGAAGAAGCCCCGGCUAACUACGUG